rnacentral:rRNA from 1 species
UACAGAGGUCUCAAGCGUUGUUCGGAUUCAUUGGGCGUAAAGGGUGCGUAGGUGGCGCCGUAAGUCGGGUGUGAAAUUUCGGAGCUUAACUCCGAAACUGCAUUCGAUACUGCGGUGCUUUGAGGACUGGAGAGGAGACUGGAAUUCAUGGUGUAGCAGUGAAAUGCGUAGAGAUCAUGAGGAAGACCAGUGGCGAAGGCGGGUCUCUGGGACAGUUACUGACGCUCAGGCACGAAAGCGUGGGGAGCAAAAGGG